GACGAACGCUGGCGGCGUGCCUAAUACAUGCAAGUAGAACGCUGAAGAGAGGAGCUUGCUCUUCUUGGAUGAGUUGCGAACGGGUGAGUAACGCGUAGGUAACCUGCCUGGUAGCGGGGGAUAACUAUUGGAAACGAUAGCUAAUACCGCAUAAAAUGGAUUAUCGCAUGAUAAUCCAUUGAAAGGUGCAAAUGCAUCACUACCAGAUGGACCUGCGUUGUAUUAGCUAGUUGGUGGGGUAACGGCUCACCAAGGCGACGAUACAUAGCCGACCUGAGAGGGUGAUCGGCCACACUGGGACUGAGACACGGCCCAGACUCCUACGGGAGGCAGCAGUAGGGAAUCUCCGGCAAUGGACGGAGGUCUGACCGAGCAACGCCGCGUGAGUGAAGAAGGUUUUCGGAUCGUAAAGCUCUGUUGUAGAGAAGAACGAGUGUGAGAGUGGAAAGUUCACACUGUGACGGUAUCUUACCAGAAAGGGACGGCUAACUACGUG
rnacentral:rRNA from 1 species